UACGUAGGGUGCAAGCGUUAAUCGGAAUUACUGGGCGUAAAGCGUGCGCAGGCGGUGAUGUAAGACAGAUGUGAAAUCCCCCGGGCUUAACCUGGGGAACUGCAUUUGUGACUGCAUCGCUGGAGUGCGGCAGAGGGGGAUGGAAUUCCGCGUGUAGCAGUGAAAUGCGUAGAUAUGCGGAGGAACACCGAUGGCGAAGGCAAUCCCCUGGGCCUGCACUGACGCUGAAGUGCGAAAGCUAGGGGAGCGAACGGG
rnacentral:rRNA from 1 species